GGGAAUAUGGCUUAAUGGUAGAGUGCUUGCCUAGCAAGCAUGAAGCCCUGGGUUUGAUUCCUCAGUACCA
rnacentral:tRNA from 1 species